UCCCACCAGGUGCUCAAUCACUGGUUCAGGCCACGACUUAGCAUUUCUGCUACAGCAUAGCAGUCUAGUUAAAUCCCAUGGAUCAUGGAUUCUGAUACAUUUCAUUCAGGAAUGCAGGUAGGAAUUUAAGUAUAAAUCCCCUGUUUAAUUUGAGUAUCGAAUGACUUGAGAAAGGACUGAUUGCUGCUAUAUAUGAAGGUAUCACACAUUUGUGCUAAAAACUGUUAUCUGGUACACUGAACUAUUUUGCAGUAUCUUGAGUGUAACGUGAAAUAGAAAACAAUUGUGAGAUCGACAAUCAGGUCCCAGUACAAGGAAGCUCUCUAUUUAUAUUCUCCUCCUUGGCCACUGUGGUCAGACUGCAACAAGCCAUACAGGAAGACUUAACUUGGGAAUUCAAGAGAACUUGUGCAAUUCCAAAGCAUUCAAAUGACAUCUCGCUAAGGAAUAAAUGAAAAAUUCAUUUCUUCAACCACCCUCUGUACUUCUACAACCUCCCUCCACCCUCUGCAAUGUAUGAAACAGCAGCUUCUGAGAAGUAGCAUAGAAAACCAUAAACAAAUAGCUAAUGAUCUUAAUAAGCCCACAGGUUGGACAUGAAAAUAAUUGUUAUUGCCUUUCUUCUCAUAGAUAAAUAAAAGGAAUAUGGUGAUACCUUUGCAAGAUGAAGAUAAAUGUCAUUUAAAAUAGCCCUUGCCAGUUCCUAGGUUUCAGCUUUUGAGAGAAAAGUAAACCUACAGUCAUAAUGAAUGAUCACUUCUGAAGGAGAGGAACUUACGUUUUGGACCACAGAUGUAGGUACAUUUACUGAUGGACUUCAUGACUUUGAGGGUCUUUUCCAACCUAAAUGAUUCCAUGAUUAUUCAUGCACUAGACUGUGUACACUUCUGGCUGGGACUUCAAUCCAACAAGAAACAGAAGAAAAGUGAAGAAGACAGAACAGAAGAAAACAUGAGAAGUCUCUUCUGCAACUGAUGAGGCUUCAAUUCAGCUUUUAAGUCUUGCCACCUUUUAAAAUAUGUUCUGUGACCGGUUUUCUGUCUGAAAAAUGUGAGUUCCUUGUCGAGUGAAGAUGGAUGCACUGCUGUUAGUGAAUUACUUAAAUAUCUGUUAUGGGACUACAGAUGCACAUGAGAUUAACCGAUAUUCCUUUUGUGAAGAAGCCCAUUCUGAGAAUCAUUCUGUAACGGUUUCUCCAACCUUACACUGCUGCCACAGCAAAGUUGUUUUCCUUUAAAGAUUUAGUCAGCUAUCUGGUUUACAGAGAAACAAAAAGACAGCAGUAUUCAUUGCUUCUGAGCAUCACUAGAUAUCACAUGAGUCUCCAUGUGUGAAAAGGCAAAGAUGCUUAUAUGCACAAAAGGAAUAUAAAACUUAAGCAUUGAGGGAACUUGAACUGAUGGUCUGCAGUAUGUCUUUCUUUUGCUUUGUUCAUUGUUUUAGCUCCCGUCCCAGAAGCAGCAUGUGUAUUAAAUGACAGGACAACUAUAAAAGUAAAAUAAUUUGUUUUAAACCAUUUCUGUAACUUUUAAUAGGGAACUAAUUGUCUCUAUCAGCAUAACUUUUGUUAAAUCCAUGAGGCUAUAGAGAUAUUUUUAUAUAACUUUAUAAAUUUUCCCGAUAUGACAUAAGGAAUUUUUGAAGGAUGACAAUGAAGUUCAAAAGUCAGAUGCAUGGAAAUUACAUAUAUACUGCAGGAAGUAUUCAGGAGAAGAAUUUAGCUGCUAAGUCCUCAUUUAUCCUUGCCUUCAAAAUGACAAGGGAGACAGCCAGCAUGCCAGACAGUAAUACUUUUAUGAUGUGUUGGAGCAGAAUCACCUGAAAAUUUAGAUCAGAGCUUUGUCCAGUCAGAUUUGAGUAUUGUCAAGUAUAAUUAUUCUACAACAUCUCUUGGCAAUCUGUUCCAGUGUUUUAAUCACCUGCAUUAUAGAAAAAUGUUCUAUAUCUUCGUAUCUAUGGGCUUUCUUUUGGUAAAACUGGUGUCUGUUGCUUCUUGUCCUUUUGCUGUAAAAUAUUACAGGAAUCUGAACCUAAAUCUCUAUAGCUCCCCUUUAGGUUUUUGAAGACUGUUAUGAAUCAUUCUCGUGUUUCUUUAUGUACCUGGAAGGAGUCCUUGCUAGGGACUGAAUUGAGUCUUUACAGCCAGCAGUUCCUCAGACCCUCCUCAUCUGUUCUAAAAUGGGCAUAACGUUUGCCUUUUCUGGCCCCUGACUGUCAUGACUUUUCAAAUAUGUUGGCAUCCUUCCAGUGGCAUCAGGUAGUUCUGUCAGCAUCUUUGGGUGCAUCUCGUUCAGCAACAUGGACUUGGAGACAUUUAAAACCAGUGGACGAGACCCUGAGCAACCUGUUCUGGUUGACCUGACCUUGAGCAGGGGGAGGCUGGACCAGAUCUCCAGAAGCACCCUUCAGCCUCAACUCAUCUCUAUCUCUGUAUAUGUCCAGAUUAUUUAAGUAGCCCCUAACUGUCCACUAAAUGCACACUGCAUUUGUAUAUUUUGCAUUGCAAAGCAGAUUGUCCGGUUUCCUGCGUAGAGCAGUCUAACACUUCAUAAUCUGUGCAAUAUGAUAUGCCUAUUUUAAAUUUAUGAAGCUGUAAACCAAUUUCCUGUACUAAUAAACACCUCAUUUUUUCAUUCCCAGUUAUCCUCUUAAAAUCACUGCACUGCCUUACUCUUUCUCUUGUCCUUGUCUUGUAAGAAAGAAAUAGGGUGCGAGGGAGACAAAAAAUAAAAUAAAAAGACAAGAAAUGGCAGCUCACAGAAAUAAAUGAUACUUGGGGAGAAUCCAAGAUCAACAGACCAGUGAGCCCACUCAUUGUUCUUUAUCAUUUUGGCUCUCUUCCAGCCCCUCUAGGUUUCUAUCUCUUCCAAACUGCUUUCUGCAUUCUCACAUAUGUUAUAGAAAGUAUUAUGAUUUCAGAGAAGUGCUUUAAUUUUUAACAGCUUGCUCUGCAAAGGAAGUUGUCCAGUUUUUGAGGGAGGAGAGGAGGGGAGCUUGUUGCUCUGUUUCUCCUUAACGUAUGUGUGUAAUCUUGAUUAUUCUUAACAGAAGAUCCAUAUGUGUAUAGUGGAGGAGGAGAAAUUGAUGCCUUUUGCAUAUAAUUACUGGGCAUAGUUAUCUGCAGAACCGUUUGGUCUUGGAUUGAUCUGGCAGUACAAUAAAUAUUUCAAAUCCAGCAAACAUCAAGCCUGCUGCCAUUUUUGCAGUGAGAAGCACAAUAUUUCAGCUUUGCGUUUUGUCACAAAAAUGAUCAGUUUUUCUAAUGUAGCUAAAAGAAGGUAGGAUAGUGGCAUGAAAAGGCACUGAUAUGAAUGAUUUUAUCUAUAUUUUUAAUAGAUUCCUUCCAAACAUAAUAAAUUUUGAAAAUUACUGAUAAUCAGCCCUUCUGAUCUGUCAGGCUACAAGCUGGAAACAAGUUCAUAACUUAACAGCUUAGGCAGAAAAGCUCAAUUCAUGUAAUCAUUACUGGAGUAAUUCUCCAGGUUUAAAACCCAAAGGCCCAACGCUACCUUUGACGCUACAGCUAUCCAAGCAUCUGCCUAAUGUGCCCCUGUGCACAGCACUGCUUGCUGUGUAUUCAGUAGAAACAAAGAGCUCCAUGGCUUGGCACAGACUGUUUUGCCAGGGCUUCCUUUUGUGCCACUGGAGGAGGCAGGGACUUUUUUCCAGGGGAAACUGACUGCAGUUGUAGACUGAUGGCAACUACUCAGGUCCACUGUUCAAGCUGGAGUGAUAGAGGCAUCACAGAAAACAUGGGCACAUUUGUGUGAACAGAACGAGAGCAUCCUCAUCCUGUACAGAGGGAGCCUAAAAAGGACCUGCUUUUCUGCUGCUGUUGCAUUACCUACUCCUGGCCAAUUCCUACAGUUUUCCAGAAUUUCAGUAAGGGCUUGCAGAAAUCACAGGCCAGAGUUUGUAAAGGGCCAGGGCAGCACAGACUUACACCUGGGUAUCUCUCCUUGUCACAGAACUGUAAGCAACCAAUAAAUACGGGCUGAGCUCUCUGAGUGAACUGGCUAUCUUUUCAUACAUGGCUUUGUAGGUUAUUCCAUUCCUGCAAAAUGUGAGAGUGACAGCAAACUCCACGGUGCUGGUGGUGUGGAGAUUUACAGCCUUGCAGCAACACUACCUGAAAAGCUUGUUAUGUUUGGGUUAUUCAGGGAUAUCCAUUUGACUUCAAGCCUUGGAUCAGGCUUGGGGAGAAUGCAGACGUACUAUGGUGUGACUGUAUGGAACUAGAUUUUCAAGACUAUUUUUUUUUUCAUCUUUCUUAGUUAAACGAAAGCAAACUGACCACCCAAACAAAAACUGCAUAGU